rnacentral:lncRNA from 1 species
UCUUAAAAAAAAAAUGUUCAUAACACUCUUCUAAAUAAAAAAGAAAAAUAUGUGAUGUAUCAUUUUUACUUCAUCAUGUAUAAUAAAUGAUUCUAUCAUACUAGAAAAAACUUUUAUAGUUGAUUGAAAUCUUUUUUUUUUUUGUUGUAACUUUUUCUUAUAUCGAGAACUAAAGGGAGCACUAACUUUUACUCAUCCGUCCAUCUAUUAAAUGAGAGCAGUAUGUGGAAGAAAAGAUGCCAAUGAAAUGGAAAGUGGUAUCUUUGCUUUCUGAGCGAGGACCAGCUGUGGAGUCCCAUGAAGCAGAGUCAAGAUGCAGCUUUGUACAGAAAUUAAGAUAGAUGACCCUAAAAAGUUAAGGCAUGAAAGUUGAAAGAGAUAGCAACCACAAACAAACGUAGUAUAAAGGCAAGAACCAGCUUUUGGGCCCUCACUCACAUGUUCGUUAAAAUACAUACAGACUUUCCAAAGUUUAUAUAUGUAACCCUCUUGCCUAUGGUCCCCUUCUUAAUUUCAAGAUGCUAGUAUAGUUUAUAAAUACUUGACCAAAAAGAAACCGAUAUAGAUGUACUCCUAUAAUCUAAUUUAAUUCAUUUCAUAAUCAUGAAUAUAAUUGCAACGAAAUGUCCUUUCUUCUAAAACAAAAUGUUCUUUAUAGAAACAUGAUUAAUAAAAAUAAAAUAUGUUGCUUGACCAAAAUAUAUAUAUAUAUAUGUUGAUGAAAAAUAAUGUCUAAGUUGGUAUACCACAAAGAAAGUCAUUUUAAGCGAAAAAAAUGUUAAGCUUUGUUCUAGACCGAUUAGAAGGUCAAUUUCAUAGCGACACGUGAACUAAAUGUCUACCACACUAAGGCAGAACACUUGGAAGAACACGUCAAUAACAAUGCACCGCAUCACAUUUGAGUACACUUUUGUGCAACGAUCACCAUACCCGUGUCCUCUAACCGCUCCCUAAUCACACGCCACAUAUUUCGGAGACGGUUAUUCUCACGUGCACCUAUAUAAGGGUGACUUAG